rnacentral:rRNA from 1 species
CCUACGGGUGGCAGCAGUAGGGAAUUUUGCGCAAUGGGGGAAACCCUGACGCAGCAACACCGCGUGAAUGUUAAGCCCUUCGGGGUGUAAAGUUCUGUCAAUAGGGACGAAUUUUGACUGUACCUAUAAAGGAAGCACCGGCUAACUCCGUGCCAGCUGCCGCGGUGAUACGGGGGGUGCAAGCGUUGUCCGGAAUCAUUGGGCGUAAAGCGUUCGUAGGCGGUAUGUCAAGUCUGAUGUUAAAGCCCGGGGCUCAACUCCGGUUCGGCAUUGGAUACUGGCAAACUAGAAUGUGGGAGAGGUAAAGGGAAUUCCUGGUGUAGCGGUGAAAUGCGUAGAUAUCACGCAGAACCCCGAUUGCGAAGGCAGCAUACCGGCGCCCUACUGACGCUGAGGCACGAAAGUGCGGGUAUCGAACAGGAUUAGAUACCCGAGUAGUC